CCUUCGGGAGGCAGCAGUGGGGAAUAUUGCACAAUGGGGGAAACCCUGAUGCAGCGACGCCGCGUGAGCGAGGAAGUAUUUCGGUAUGUAAAGCUCUAUCAGCAGGGACGAAAAAAGACGGUACCUGACUAAGAAGCCCCGGCUAACUACGUGCCAGCAGCCGCGGUAAUACGUAGGGGGCAAGCGUUAUCCGGAUUUACUGGGUGUAAAGGGAGCGUAGACGGCAAGGCAAGCCAGAAGUGAAAGGGCAGGGCUCAACCCCGGCCCGCCGUUGAAACUGGCAGUCUCGAGUUGGAGAGAAGUAUGCGGAAUGCGCGGUGUAGCGGUGAAAUGCAUAGAUAUCGCGCAGAACUCCGAUUGCGAAGGCAGCAUGCCGGCUCCACACUGACGCUGAGGCACGAAAGCGUGGGUAUCGAACAGGAUUAGAUACCCCUGUAGUC
rnacentral:rRNA from 1 species